GGUUCCGUGGUCCAGUGGUCAAGACUCAUCGUUGUGGUUAACUAUUCUAUCUACUCUCCGAUGCAACCCGUGUUCGAUUCACGGCGGAGCCA
rnacentral:tRNA from 1 species